rnacentral:rRNA from 1 species
GAUGAACGCUGACAGAAUGCUUAACACAUGCAAGUCAACUUGAACUUCGGUUUGGGUGGCGGACGGGUGAGUAACGCGUAAAGAACUUGCCUCACAGAUAGGGACAACAUUUGGAAACGAAUGCUAAUACCUGAUAUUAUGAUUUUAGGGCAUCCUAGGAUUAUGAAAGCUAUAUGCGCUGUGAGAGAGCUUUGCGUCCCAUUAGCUAGUUGGAGAGGUAACGGCUCACCAAGGCGAUGAUGGGUAGCCGGCCUGAGAGGGUGAUCGGCCACAAGGGGACUGGGACACGGCCCGUACGCCUACGGGGGGCAGGAGUGGGGAAUAUUGGAAAAUGGACCAAGAGUCUGAUCAAGCAAUUCUGUGUGCACGAUGAAGUUUUUCGGAAUGUAAAGUGCUUUCAGUUGGGAAGAAAAAAAUGACGGUACCAACAGAAGAAGAGACGGCUAAAUACGUG